rnacentral:rRNA from 1 species
CUACGGGAUGCUCCAGUGGGGAAUAUUGCACAAUGGAGGAAACUCUGAUGCAGCAACGCCGCGUGGAGGAUGACACUUUUCGGAGCAUAAACUCCUUUUAUAUAGGAAGAAGAUGACGGUACUAUAUGAAUAAGCGCCGGCUAACUCCGUACCAGCAGCCGCGGUAAUACGGAGGGCGCAAGCGUUACUCGGAAUCACUGGGCGUAAAGAGCGUGUAGGCGGAUUAAAAAGUCAGAAGUGAAAUCCUAUAGCUUAACUAUAGAACUGCUUCUGAAACUCUUAAUCUAGAAUAUGGGAGAGGUAGAUGGAAUUUCUGGUGUAGGGGUAAAAUCCGUAGAGAUCAGAAGGAAUACCGAUUGCGAAGGCGAUCUACUAGAACAUUAUUGACGCUGAGACGCGAAAGCGUGGGGAGCAAACAGGAUUAGAUACCCUCGUAGUC